GAUCGAAAUGGAAUCAUGAAAUCACAAUAAAAUAAAAAUUAAAUAGUUUCUAUUAUAUUUUUAUAAUUUAUAUUUUUAUAAUAUUAAAUAUCAAUACUAUUAUUAUGGUACAAGUUAAACAAGACCAAUCAAUAGAAUAUUAGAGGUACUACAUAUUAAUAUUACUGUUAUGGCAUAAGUUAAAAAGGACUAGUCAAAGGCG
rnacentral:lncRNA from 1 species